rnacentral:rRNA from 1 species
UACGUAGGCAGCGAGCGUUGUUCGGAAUUACUGGGCGUAAAGAGCUCGUAGGCGGUUCGUCGCGUCGGCUGUGAAAUCCCGGAGCUCAACUCCGGGUCUGCAGUCGAUACGGGCGGACUCGAGUUCGGCAGGGGAGACUGGAAUUCCUGGUGUAGCGGUGAAAUGCGCAGAUAUCAGGAGGAACACCGGUGGCGAAGGCGGGUCUCUGGGCCGAUACUGACGCUGAGGAGCGAAAGCGUGGGGAGCGAACAGG